GUCCCGGGAGCCCGGCCUCGUGCGCCGCGCUUUGAGGUGAGCCUCUCUGAGAAAUUUGUGAGGAGGGUCCAGCCGCGGGUCGGAAGGAAGGACGUGGGGAGCGAGGCUCGAGCGAGCGACAGCGAGUGCGAAGCAGACUGCUCGACAAACACUGCGCCAAGAGCUCCUCAGCAGAAGCUCCUCGCAUCAGAUCCUCUGUGCUGGGAAUCCUCCCCUCUUGAGCACACUCUGUGCUCCUCUUCCAGUUACGGUGCAUGUGAAGCAAUGGUAUGGGAAAAUUGUUUGCAGAAGGAUGAAAAGGCUUUAUUGCCAAACUCUGAGUGAACUCCCAUGGACUGCCUUGCUGGUCAGGAAAGGCUAACAGCCCCCACUCCACAAAACCCAGCUUGUUCUGGCUCAUGAACCCAAAGGACCAAAGGAAGGUGCAGGCGAGCACAGCAUGGAGACACACGGAGGUGGACGUGCAGCCCUCACACUGGUGCCCAACACCUGCCAGACGGUUACUACAGUGAGAAGGAAGCCUGAGACUUGGCUGCAGCCACCCACCAGACCUCCCCAGGUCAAGCACGUACCCCCCAGGGGUGGAAGGUCCAUCUGCGGAAGCUGGAACCCGAGCACAGCCUGCUUCAGC
rnacentral:lncRNA from 1 species